AACGAACGCUGGCGGCGCGUCUUAAGCAUGCAAGUCGAGCGGUAAGUUGGAAGCUUGCUUCUAACCUAGAGCGGCGGACUGGUGAGUAACGCGUGGGUGACGUACCUCUGUGACGGGGACAGCUCCUAGAAAUAGGAGAUAAUACCGGAUACGCUGUGUGCUGUCAGAGGGCACACAGGAAAGGAUCUCUUGAUUCGCACAGAGAGCGGCCCGCGUACUAUUAGCUAGUUGGUGAGGUAACGGCCCACCAAGGCGACGAUAGUUACCCGGCCUAAGAGGGUGAUCGGGCACAUUGGGACUGAGAUACGGCCCAGACUCCUACGGGAGGCAGCAGCUAAGAAUAUUCCGCAAUGGACGAAAGUCUGACGGAGCGACGCCGCGUGGAUGAUGAAAGGCCGGAAGGUUGUAAAAUCCUUUUAUGACUGAGGAAUAAGGUGGAUGAGAGAAACGUCCGCUGGUGACUGUAGGUCAUGAAUAAGCAACGGCUAAUUACGUGCCAGCAGCGGC
rnacentral:rRNA from 1 species